AAGUCGUAACAAGGUUUCCGUAGGUGAACCUGCGGAAGGAUCAUUAUAGGGAGGGGCUUUGAGCCCCAGGGGGCUGCGUCCCCCGUCUCUAUACCCGUGAAUAUCUACACUUCCGUUGCUUUGGCGGGACUUUAGGGUAACACCUAUGCCAGUGCGCUGGAGAGCGCCCGUCAAUCGCCCCCAACGCUCGUGUUGUCUUGGUACGUCUGAGUCAUAAUUGAAUUAAAACAAAACUUUCAACAACGGAUCUCUUGGUUCUGGCAUCGAUGAAGAACGCAGCGAAAUGCGAUAACUAAUGUGAAUUGCAGAAUUCAGUGAACCAUCGAAUCUUUGAACGCACAUUGCGCCCCUCGGUACCCCGGGGGGUAUACCUGUUCGAGCGUCAUUGCACCCCUCAAGCGUAGCUUGGUCUUGGGUUUUCGCCCCCUGGGCGUACCUUAAAAGUAGUAGCGGUCCGGAGUGACCUUUGAGCGAAGUAAAGGGGAUCAUCCGCUUUGAAACCUCGCUCCGUGUCCUGCUAAGAUCCAUUCGAUUCAAUGGUUGACCUCGGAUCAGGUAGGGAUACCCGCUGAACUUAAGCAUAUCAAUAAGCGGAGGAAAAGAAACCAACAGGGAUUGCCUCAGUAACGGCGAGUGAAGCGGCAACAGCUCAAAUUUGAAAUCCGGCCCUUUCGGGGUCCGAGUUGUAAUUUGCAGAGGGUGUUUCGGGCGCGGCGCCGGUCUAAGUCCUUUGGAACAGGGUGUCAUAGAGGGUGAAAAUCCCGUAUGUGACCGGCAACCAACCCCGUGUGAAACCCCUUCGACGAGUCGAGUUGUUUGGGAAUGCAGCUCAAAACGGGUGGUAAAUUUCAUCCAAAGCUAAAUACGGGCCAGAGACCGAUAGCGCACAAGUAGAGUGAUCGAAAGAUGAAAAGCACUUUGGAAAGAGAGUCAAACAGUACGUGAAAUUGUUGAAAGGGAAGCGCUUGCAACCAGACCUGUUCGUGGGUGAUCAGCGGUGCUUCUCGCGCCGUGCACUCGUCCGCGACCAGGCCAGCAUCGGUUCGGGCGGCCGGAGAAAGACUCGAAGAAUGUAGCUCCCUCCGGGGAGUGUUAUAGCUUCCCGUGCAAUACGGCCCACCGGGACCGAGGAUCGCGCUUCGGCUAGGAUGCUGGCGUAAUGGUUGUCAGCGACC
rnacentral:rRNA from 1 species